GGUGACUAUAGUGUCCCUUUAAGUUUGGAAGCUUAAGAGGGAUGUAUGGGAACAAAACUGGUAUGCACUGGCUGACAUUAAAGUUAGUUUAGGUAAUGCAGACGUUGGUCUCUCUAACACUGUGGCAUGUCCCCUUUCUUCUACACUCACUACAGACACCUUUUCUCUAUCUCAGACUAUAUACCAGGAACCUCUGCCUGCUAGUAAGAAGGUAAGGAGACAAG